UUUGUAAAGCCGCGUUACCCAUGAGCACGCAGAGAGCCUUUUCUGGAGAUUGACAGGAAGUUGAAGAGCCAGGGAAGAGAUGAGCAAUGACACUUUGAAGGUUCUUGGAUUGCUACUCAAUUUUUGCAGUGACUUUGAUAUCAAUUUAUCCUAAAUGCUUCUCUGAAUUCAGUCAUUCAGGUUGUGAGAAAGAAGAGGAAAAGAGCAUUACUGCUGCUUGUCAUGUGAGGAUUCACGUACAGAUAGUAAGGAAG